rnacentral:rRNA from 1 species
UACGUAGGGGGCAAGCGUUGUCCGGAUUCAUUGGGCGUAAAGAGCGUGUAGGCGGCCAGGUAGGUCGGUUGUGAAAACUGGAGGCUCAACCUUCAGAGGUCGACCGAAACCAUCUGGCUAGAGUCCGGAAGAGGAGAGUGGAAUUCCUGGUGUAGCGGUGAAAUGCGCAGAUAUCAGGAAGAACACCCGUGGCGAAGGCGGCUCUCUGGUACGUGACUGACGCUGAGACGCGAAACGUGGGGAGCGAACAGG